GAUGAACGCUGGCGGCGUGCUUAACACAUGCAAGUCGAACGGAAAGGCCACAGCUUGCUGUGGUACUCGAGUGGCGAACGGGUGAGUAACACGUGGGUGAUCCGCCCUGUACUUCGGGAUAAGCUUGGGAAACUGGGUCUAAUACCGGAUAGGAAUCACAUGUGGGUGUGUGGUUGGAAAGCUUUUGCGGUAUGGGAUGAGCUCGCGGCCUAUCAGCUUGUUGGUGGGGUAAUGGCCUACCAAGGCGUCGACGGGUAGCCGGCCUGAGAGGGUGUACGGCCACAUUGGGACUGAGAUACGGCCCAGACUCCUACGGGAGGCAGCAGUGGGGAAUAUUGCACAAUGGGCGCAAGCCUGAUGCAGCGACGCCGCGUGGGGGAUGACGGCCUUCGGGUUGUAAACUCCUUUCGUCAGGGACGAAGCGAAAGUGACGGUACCUGGAUAAGAAGCACCGGCUAACUACGUG
rnacentral:rRNA from 1 species